rnacentral:rRNA from 1 species
UACGUAGGGGGCAAGCGUUGUCCGGAAUCAUUGGGCGUAAAGAGCGUGUAGGCGGCUCGGUAAGUCCGCUGUGAAAGUCCAGGGCUCAACCCUGGAAUGCCGGUGGAAACUGUCGAGCUAGAGUCCGGAAGAGGCGAGUGGAAUUCCUGGUGUAGCGGUGAAAUGCGCAGAUAUCAGGAGGAACACCGGUGGCGAAGGCGGUGGGCUGGGCCGGCACUGACGCUGAGGAGCGAAAGCGUGGGGAGCGAACAGG